GCCGGGCAGGUGCCCGGCAGAUGUGUGUUGAAUAAACAGCUCUCCCUCCUGUCAGGACAAGCAAAAGCAUCAGAGACAGAGACAGACAGAGAUAGAGAUGAAAGACAGACAGAGUUGGAGACGGCGAUAGAGUGAAUGAGAGAGAGACGGCAGCAUGUGUGAGCAGGCGGGGGCAGUAGGAGCUUUCCAGGGGCUCUGAUGGGAUGGACAAGACUGGACACCAAGGUCUUCAUCGGCAAGAGGUUCCUGUGACACAGACAUGACACCCCACAGCCUGCAGAAGGUGGACACAGUCAGGAGGGCCCCCCUGGCUUUGAGAGCAGACGGCAGAGUCCCGUGAGGAAAUCUUGGCUUAGCCUCUUCCCCACUGUGUGAUUUUGGACACCUUCCUUGACCUCUCUGAGCCUCUGACCUUCUGCCGGACAGUGCUGACUUGCAGAGUUGUUGUAAGGUUUGGAGAUCAUGGAUGCAAAAUGUCUCCAACUAGCCUAGCACGUGCUGAACAUCUGGC
rnacentral:lncRNA from 1 species